rnacentral:rRNA from 1 species
GAUGAACGCUGGCGGCGUGCCUAAUACAUGCAAGUCGAGCGAAUGGAUUAAGAGCUUGCUCUUAUGAAGUUAGCGGCGGACGGGUGAGUAACACGUUGGUAACCUGCCCAUAAGACUAGGAUAACUCCGGGAAACCGGGGCUAAUACCGGAUAACAUUUUGAACCGCCUGGUUCGAAAUUGAAAGGCGGCUUCGUCUGUCACUUAUGGAUGGACCCGCGUCGCAUUAGCGAGUUGGUGGGGUAACGGCUCACGAAGGCAACGAUGCGUAGCCGACCUGAGAGGGAGAUCGGCCACACUGGGACUGAGACACGGCCCAGACUCCUACGGGAGGCAGCAGUAGGGAAUCUUCCGCAAUGGACGAAAGUCUGACGGAGCAACGCCGCGUGAGUGAUGAAGGCUUUCGGGUCGUAAAACUCUGUUGUUAGGGAAGAACAAGUGCUAGUUGAAUAAGCUGGCACCUUGACGGUACCUAACCAGAAAGCCACGGCUAACUACGUGCCAGCCGCCGCCGUAA